CUGAACCAGCCAAGUAGCGUGAAGGAUGAAGGUCCUACGGAUCGUAAACUUCUUUUAUACGGGAAUGAAGUUCCUACGUGUAGGAUUUUGUAUGUACCGUAUGAAUAAGCAUCGGCUAACUCCGUGCCAGCAGCCGCGGUAAUACGGAGGAUGCGAGCGUUAUCCGGAUUUAUUGGGUUUAAAGGGAGCGCAGACGGGAGAUUAAGUCAGUUGUGAAAGUUUGCGG
rnacentral:rRNA from 1 species